rnacentral:rRNA from 1 species
UUUAUGGAGAGUUUGAUCCUGGCUCAGGAUGAACGCUGGCGGCGUGCCUAAUACAUGCAAGUCGAGCGAACAGACGAGGAGCUUGCUCCUCUGACGUUAGCGGCGGACGGGUGAGUAACACGUGGAUAACCUACCUAUAAGACUGGGAUAACUUCGGGAAACCGGAGCUAAUACCGGAUAACAUGUUGAACCGCAUGGUUCAACAGUGAAAGACGGUCUUGCUGUCACUUAUAGAUGGAUCCGCGCCGCAUUAGCUAGUUGGUAAGGUAACGGCUUACCAAGGCAACGAUGCGUAGCCGACCUG